AGAUGAACGCUGGCGGCGUGCCUAAUACAUGCAAGUCGAGCGAACAGACAAGGAGCUUGCUCCUUUGACGUUAGCGGCGGACGGGUGAGUAACACGUGGGUAACCUACCUAUAAGACUGGGAUAACUUCGGGAAACCGGAGCUAAUACCGGAUAAUAUUUCGAACCGCAUGGUUCGAUAGUGAAAGAUGGUUUUGCUAUCACUUAUAGAUGGACCCGCGCCGUAUUAGCUAGUUGGUAAGGUAACGGCUUACCAAGGCGACGAUACGUAGCCGACCUGAGAGGGUGAUCGGCCACACUGGAACUGAGACACGGUCCAGACUCCUACGGGAGGCAGCAGUAGGGAAUCUUCCGCAAUGGGCGAAAGCCUGACGGAGCAACGCCGCGUGAGUGAUGAAGGUCUUCGGAUCGUAAAACUCUGUUAUUAGGGAAGAACAUACGUGUAAGUAACUAUGCACGUCUUGACGGUACCUAAUCAGAAAGCCACGGCUAACUACGUGCCAGCAGCCGCGGUAAUACGUAGGUGGCAAGCGUUAUCCGGAAUUAUUGGGCGUAAAGCGCGCGUAGGCGGUUUUUUAAGUCUGAUGUGAAAGCCCACGGCUCAACCCGUGGGAGGGGUCAUUGGAAACUGGAAAACUUGAGUGCAGAAGAGGAAAGUGGGAAUUUCCAUGUGUAGCGGUGAAAUGCGCAGAGAUAUGGAGGAACACCAGUGGCGAAGGCGACUUUCUGGUCUGUAACUGACGCUGAUGUGCGAAAGCGUGGGGAUCAAACAGGAUUAGAUACCCUGGUAGUCCACGCCGUAAACGAUGAGUGCUAAGUGUUAGGGGGUUUCCGCCCCUUAGUGCUGCAGCUAACGCAUUAAGCACUCCGCCUGGGGAGUACGACCGCAAGGUUGAAACUCAAAGGAAUUGACGGGGACCCGCACAAGCGGUGGAGCAUGUGGUUUAAUUCGAAGCAACGCGAAGAACCUUACCAAAUCUUGACAUCCUUUGACAACUCUAGAGAUAGAGCCUUCCCCUUCGGGGGACAAAGUGACAGGUGGUGCAUGGUUGUCGUCAGCUCGUGUCGUGAGAUGUUGGGUUAAGUCCCGCAACGAGCGCAACCCUUAAGCUUAGUUGCCAUCAUUAAGUUGGGCACUCUAAGUUGACUGCCGGUGACAAACCGGAGGAAGGUGGGGAUGACGUCAAAUCAUCAUGCCCCUUAUGAUUUGGGCUACACACGUGCUACAAUGGACAAUACAAAGGGCAGCGAAACCGCGAGGUCAAGCAAAUCCCAUAAAGUUGUUCUCAGUUCGGAUUGUAGUCUGCAACUCGACUACAUGAAGCUGGAAUCGCUAGUAAUCGUAGAUCAGCAUGCUACGGUGAAUACGUUCCCGGGUCUUG
rnacentral:rRNA from 1 species